rnacentral:tRNA from 1 species
UAUAUUUUAAUGUAUAUUAGCAUAAAAAUUUUUGAGAUUUUAAGAGAUAAAAAUAUUAUCAUGUAUAA